UCCCACCCGUUUCCAUCGCCAGAAGCGUUCCCCUCUCCCCCAAAUCUCCCAUGGCGCCGUUCUCAAUCCCGCGCACCUCCCCGCCGUCGACUCCUCCCCCUGGCCGCGAUGCUCCGUCAUUCCGCCGCAGAGGGCUUGCGCAUGCCGCCAAGUGGCUAGCGCCUCCAAGGGGGCAGCUUUUCCCCGCCUGACCAGAAGCUGCCGACGGCGACCCCGGCUCCAAGGCGUUCCGGCGAGGCCGCCCCCCGUCCCCGGUGACCGCGGAUCGCCAACGACCGGCCGCUUAUCCCCUGGAUUCGGCGACUUCUGCCUCCGUCAGCAACCUGCUCUUGCGCGUCGGAGCAUGGGACGGCAGCGGCGGCCAUCGCGGUUCUGCCGACCGGGUCGGCGUCUGAGUCUGCCGCGUCGGUGCAGCUACCCUGACCAGAAGGACGCCGUCGAGCAGCUGGUUGCUUUCUGCCUAGGUCAGCCCUUCCUCCUCCUAUGCUAGGUCUUCAAUUUCUGCUCUGCAACAAGAACGCGUUGAUGCACUGCUCACGCCCUUGUCAAUGUCUUGUGCUGCGACAUGCUGUAUCGAGGUCUGCUGGUCUGCUGCUGGCUGCUUCCGGCGACAACCUACCGUAGCUGCUGCUGUCGGCGGCCACCACUCCAACCCGCCCCUGCCUGCCACUUCCCCCAACCAGCUGCUGCCCGGCUCAAAGCAUAUUGGAGGAGCGGUAGCUGAAGGGUGCAAAUCGGUGGCGAACGCCAUCGGCGACAUCUACAAGCGCAAAGGGUAGUCGCUCCAGGGGCUACGAGGUCUUCAGCGCCACUCCUGCAAGUUGAUCUUCUCCGAGACCAUCGCCUGCCAGGAUGUCGCCCCAAGGAACAACGCAGUGACGCCACUGUUGGUGUUAAGGAGAUUGCCGGCAUUGGCAUCAGAAGGUCUAAAUUUUUGUUGAUACUAGUAGCCUUUGACGCGUGUGUCUAGUCAGUGAUUGAUGGUGGGAAGAGCAUGGAAGAGGCUGUGCAGGAUGAGGUUUGAUGUGAUGUAGGGUGUUUCAAGUGUUGCAAAAUUUGGUCGCACACAGAAGCUUGUGAGAGCAUGUAGUAUACUCCUUAAUUAAUUUGCGCAAGUGUAUUGUAGUAUUGCAUCAAAGGUGUUGUUAUUUGGUGUAUGAUAUAGAAGUCGAUCGAGAUGGAGUUAAGCGGAGAAGGUUGAAACA